rnacentral:rRNA from 1 species
GUGUCAGCCGCCGCGGUAAUACGAAGGUGGCGAGCGUUACUCGGAAUUACUAGGCGUAAAGCGCAGGUAGGUGGUUGGAUAAGUCUGCUAUGAAAUCUCCCGGCUUAACUGGGAGGGGUUAGUGGAUACUGUCCGGCUCGAGUGUGGGAGAGGUAACUGGAAUUCCAGGUGUAGCGGUGAAAUGCGUAGAUAUCUGGAGGAACACCAAUGGCGAAAGCAGGUUACUGGCCCAAUACUGACGCUGAGCUGCGAAAGCUAGGGGAGCAAACAGGAUUAGAAACCCCCGUAGUCC